GAAUGGCUCAUUAAAUCAGUUAUCGUUUAUUUGAUAGUACCUUACUACUUGGAUACCUGUGGUAAUUCUAGAGCUAAUACAUGCUAAAAACCCCGACUUCGGAAGGGGUGUAUUUAUUAGAUAAAAAACCAAUGCCCUUCGGGGCUCCUUGGUGAUUCAUAAUAACUUCUCAGAUCGCAUGGCCUUGCGCCGGCGACGGUUCAUUCAAAUUUCUGCCCUAUCAACUUUCGAUGGUAAGGUAUUGGCUUACCAUGGUUUCUACGGGUAACGGGGAAUUAGGGUUCGAUUCCGGAGAGUUAGCCUGAGAAACGGCUAACACAUCCAAGGAAGGCAGCAGGCGCGCAAAUUACCCAAUCCUGAUACAGGGAGGUAGUGACAAUAAAUACUGAUACAGGGCUCUUUUGGGUCUUGUAAUCGGAAUGAGUACAAUUUAAACCUCUUAACGAGGAACAAUUGGAGGGCAAGUCUGGUGCCAGCAGCCGCGGUAAUUCCAGCUCCAAUAGCGUAUAUUAAAGUUGUUGCAGUUAAAAAGCUCGUAGUUGAACCUUUGGCCUGGCUGGUAGGUCCGCCUCACCGCGUGCACUUGUCCGGCCGGGCCUUUUCUUCUGGAGAACCGCAUGCCCUUCACUGGGUGUGUUGGGGACCAGGACUUUUACUUUGAAAAAAUUAGAGUGUUCAAAGCAGGCCUUUGCUCGAAUAUUACAGCAUGGAAUAAUAAAAUAGGACGUGCGGUUCUAUUUUGUUGGUUUCUAGGACCGCCGUAAUGAUUAAUAGGGACAG
rnacentral:rRNA from 1 species